rnacentral:rRNA from 1 species
GACGAACGCUGGCGGCGUGCCUAAUACAUGCAAGUCGAACGGAGUGGCGAACGGGUGAGUAAUGUAUCGGAACGUGCCCAGUAGCGGGGGAUAACUACGCGAAAGCGUAGCUAAUACCGCAUACUAUUGGAGCGGCAGAUACCGGAGUAGCUUGUUGGUGGGGUAACGGCCCACCAAGGCGACGAUCCGUAGCCGGUUUGAGAGGACGACCAGCCACACUGGGACUGAGACACGGCCCAGACUCCUACGGGAGGCAGCAGUGGGGAAUUUUGGACAAUGGGGGAAACCCUGAUCCAGCCAUCCCGCGUGUGCGAUGAAGGCCUUCGGGUUGUAAAGCACUUUUGGCAGGAAAGCGGUACCUGCAGAAUAAGCACCGGCUAACUCCGUGCCAGCAGCCGCGGUAAUAC